CAAAUUAUGCCCUGGGCCACAACAUUUUCCUUCUUCAAUGUUGUGGCCCAUGAGAUAGCAAAGAUUUAAAGGUGAUUCUUUUCAUAUUGAGCUGUAAAGUAUGGGGGAAAAGGGAAAAAAAAAAAAAAGUGUUUUCCAGGAAUAAGGCAAUUAGAGGGAGGGUUAGUUGUCUUUUGAAGACCAAUUACUAAACACAGUUUAAACACAGUUAUUGAAAUAAGGGAUAUUACAUAGAGAGAAAGAAUUAAACCAGAAGAUGUGAAAGAACUCAUUGUCUAUUAAUACUCACAGAAUGAUUCAUAACAGGUUGCUGCUUUCAGCUUGGAGUAAGUGAUUAGCAGUUAGAUCUACUCAGUGCAAGGGUAGUUUUCGUUGUUGUUGUUUUGGAGUGGCAUAUUAAAAUGUUAAAUGUAACAAGUAAAACAAAAUCACUAGGAAUGAAAACAAAUAGUGAUCCUAACAGCCUAAUGUCUGAUAUGAAAAUAAGUACUAACAGGUACAGCCUUUUAAAAUUCUGGUAGAGAAAUGGAAAUCUACUGCUUUGCACUUAAGAAUCUGUGAAUCUGAAGCCGUUCACUAGAUCAUUUCAUACACUUCACUCAUUUUAUAUUUAAGUACAUUUCCCAUUACAAGCUUGAUUUCUAUUUCUAAAUUUCCCCACAUAGAAGCAGUCUCUUCCAAGCUUACAUGUUACAUCUUUACCAAAAAUUGAGUUUCAAGAGGAAACCAGAGAAGUCGUUCUAAAUUACAGAACAGUAUUGAGAUUAAGCCUGAGCAAGAGAUGGAGGCUCUUGGAUCAAAAUAAGAGUUGCUGAACAACAUCACAUCUGAUGGACCAUAAACUCACCAUCCUAGAGGAUAUUGAUCAAAGUAUCAGAGUCCAGAUUUGUCAAUUGUCAAUCUACUUGUAGAUGACUGAGAACAGAGCUACAUGUGAAUGCACCAGGCCAAGUCUUCUUUGGCUCCAGACAACUCAUGGUUUCUCCAAUGACUGCUCCGACCCAUUAUAUAGCACCCUGAUGUCAUUUUCAGUAGGCAGCAAUAUUACAGGUGAGUGAACUCCAAAGAGCUGUGAAGUUAUGAAAUAUUGGAUGUGUUUAAUUAUCCCUCCGUCUCUUUUCAUAUUAAUCUUUGUUGUUGUUGUUGUUAUUGUUGGUUUUUCCCUUAGGGUUUACUUUUCCCCAGAACUCUUCCAGCAAAAUUAUUACCCAGAUU
rnacentral:lncRNA from 1 species